rnacentral:rRNA from 1 species
UUCCGGUUGAUCCUGCCGGACCCCACUGCUAUCGGGAUAGGACUAAGACAUGCUAGUCAAGCGUGCCGAGUGCGGCGCACAGCUCAGUAGCACGUGGCUAACCUGCCCUUGGGACGGGAAUACCCCCGGGAAACUGGGGCUAAUCCCCGAUAGGUGAAGAACUCUGGGAUGAGUCUCCGCCCAAAGCUUUUACGCCCAAGGAUGGGGCCGCGACCGAUCAGGUAGUUGGUGAGGCAACGGCUCACCAAGCCUUUAACCGGUGCGGGCCGUGGGAGCGGGAGCCCGGAGAUGGGCACUGAGACAAGGGCCCAGGCCCUACGGGGCGCAGCAGUCGCGAAAACUUUGCAAUACACGAAAGUGUGAACGGGCUACCCCGAGUGCCGUCCGCUGAGGAUGGCUUUUCUCUGCUGUAAGAAGGCGGAGGAAUAAGGCGAGGGCAAGUCUGGUGUCAGCCGCCGCGGUAAUACCAGCUCGCCGAGUGGUAGGGAUGAUUAUUGGGCCUGAAGCGUCCGUAGCCGGCCUUUCAAGUCUCUUGUUAAAUCCAACGAUUCAAUCGCUGGACUGCAGGAGAUACUGUUAGGCUAGGGGGCGGGAGAAGCCGACGGUAUUUUCGGGGUAGGGGUAAAAUCCUAUAAUCCCGGGAAGACCACCAGUGGCGUAGGCGGUCGGCUAGCACGCGCUCGACGGUGAGGGACGAAAGCUGGGGGAGCGAACCGGAUUAGAUACCCGGGUAGUCCCAGCUGUAAACGAUGCUGGCUAGGUGUUGAAGCGGCUACGAGCCGCUUCAGUGCCGCAGGGAAGCCAUUAAGCCAGCCGCCUGGGGAGUACGGCCGCAAGGCUGAAACUUAAAGGAAUUGGCGGGGGAGCACCACAAGGGGUGAAGCUUGCGGUUUAAUUGGAGUCAACGCCGGA